rnacentral:rRNA from 1 species
ACGUAUGGUGCAAGCGUUAUCCGGAUUUACUGGGUGUAAAGGGAGCGUAGACGGUGAUGUAAGUCUGAAGUGAAAGCCCGGGGCUCAACCCCGGGACUGCUUUGGAAACUAUGUGACUAGAGUGUCGGAGAGGCGAGUGGAAUUCCCAGUGUAGCGGUGAAAUGCGUAGAUAUUGGGAGGAACACCAGUGGCGAAGGCGGCUUGCUGGACGAUAACUGACGUUGAGGCUCGAAAGCGUGGGGAGCAAACAG